rnacentral:rRNA from 1 species
GGGGUGAGUGGCAGACGGGUGAGUAACGCGUGGGAACGUGCCCUUCAGUUCGGAAUAACCCAGGGAAACUUGGGCUAAUACCGGAUACGUGCGAGAGCAGAAAGAUUUAUCGCUGAAGGAUCGGCCCGCGUCUGAUUAGCUAGUUGGUGGGGUAAUGGCCCACCAAGGCGCCGAUCAGUAGCUGGUCUGAGAGGAUGAUCAGCCACAUUGGGACUGAGACACGGCCCAAACUCCUACGGGAGGCAGCAGUGGGGAAUAUUGGACAAUGGGCGCAAGCCUGAUCCAGCCAUGCCGCGUGAGUGAUGAAGGCCUUAGGGUUGUAACGCUCUUUCGUCCGGGACGAUAAUGACGGUACCGGA